rnacentral:rRNA from 1 species
GUGAGGAAUAUUGGUCAAUGGGCGCAAGCCUGAUCCAGCCAUGCCGCGUGCAGGAAGACGCAUCUAUGGUGUGUAAACUGCUUUUGUACGGGAAGAAACACUCCCUCGUGAGGGAGCUUGACGGUACCGUAAGAAUAAGGAUCGGCUAACUCCGUGCCAGCAGCCGCGGUAAUACGGAGGAUCCAAGCGUUAUCCGGAAUCAUUGGGUUUAAAGGGUCCGUAGGCGGUUUAAUAAGUCAGUGGUGAAAGCCCAUCGCUCAACGAUGGAACGGCCAUUGAUACUGUUAGACUUGAAUUACAAGGAAGUAACUAAAAUAUGUAGUGUAGCGGUGAAAUGCUUAGAUAUUACAUGGAAUACCAAUUGCGAAGGCAGGUUACUACUUGUGGAUUGACGCUGAUGGACGAAAGCGUGGGGAGCGAACAGGAUUAGAAACCCCGGUAGUCC